UCCUCCGCUUAUUGAUAUGCUUAAGUUCAGCGGGUAUCCCUACCUGAUCCGAGGUCAAAAGUUGAAAAAAAGGCUUAAUGGAUGCUAGACCUUUGCUGAUAGAGAGUGCGACUUGUGCUGCGCUCCGAAACCAGUAGGCCGGCUGCCAAUUACUUUAAGGCGAGUCUCCAGCAAAGCUAGAGACAAGACGCCCAACACCAAGCAAAGCUUGAGGGUACAAAUGACGCUCGAACAGGCAUGCCCUUUGGAAUACCAAAGGGCGCAAUGUGCGUUCAAAGAUUCGAUGAUUCACUGAAUUCUGCAAUUCACACUACUUAUCGCAUUUCGCUGCGUUCUUCAUCGAUGCCAGAACCAAGAGAUCCGUUGUUGAAAGUUGUAAUUAUUAAUUUUUUUUACUGACGCUGAUUGCAAUUACAAAAGGUUUAUGGUUUGUCCUAUGGUGGGCGAACCCACCAAGGAAACAAGAAGUACGCAAAAGACACGGGUGAAUAAUUCAGCAAGGCUGUAACCCCGAAGGAUGCCAGCCCGCUUUCAUAUUGUGUAAUGAUCCCUCCGCAGGUUCACCUACGGA
rnacentral:misc_RNA from 1 species